GGCUGGGGCCCAGUGGCAAUGCUUCUGUUUAGCAUACAGAAAGUCCCAAGUUCGAUUCCUGACCUUCCCAGUUA
rnacentral:tRNA from 1 species